AGCUCCAAUAGCGUAUAUUAAAGUUGUUGCAGUUAAAAAGCUCGUAGUUGGAAUUCUGGUGGGAGCGAUCGGUCUGGCGCUUAGCGCGAGUACUUGCAUCGUCUCCGGCCAUCCUUGGGGAGAGUUUGUCUGGCAUUAAGUUGUCGGGCAGAGGAUCCUCAUCGUUUACUGUGAAAAAAUUAGAGUGUUCAAAGCAGGCUUAUGCCGUUGAAUAUAUUAGCAUGGAAUAAUAAGAUAGGACUUUGGUACUAUUUUGUUGGUUUGCGCACCAAAGUAAUGAUUAAUAGGGACAGUUGGGGGUAUUCGUAUUCCGUUGUCAGAGGUGAAAUUCUUGGAUUUACGGAAGACGAACUACUGCGAAAGCAUUUACCAAGGAUGUUUUCAUUA
rnacentral:rRNA from 1 species